AUUGAACGCUGGCGGCAGGCUUAACACAUGCAAGUCGAGCGGAGCGGCGGACGGGUGAGUAAUGCCUAGGAAUCUGCCUGGUAGCGGGGGAUAACGUCCGGAAACGGGCGCCAAUCCCGCAUACUAUCAGAUGAGCCUAGGUCGGAUUGGCAAGUUGGUGGGGUAAAGGCCUACCAGGGCGACGAUCCGUCACUGGUCUGAGAGGAUGAUCAGUCACACUGGAACUGGAACACGGUCCAGACUCCUACGGAAGCCAGCAGUGGGAAGUGUUAGACAGUGGGCGAAAGCCUAAUCCAGCCAUGCCGCGUGUGUAAGGAGGGUCUUCGGAUUGUAAGGCACUUUAAGUUGGGAGGCGUUACCGACAGAAUAAGCACCGGCUAACUUCGUGCCAGCAGCCGCGGUAAUUC
rnacentral:rRNA from 1 species